ACCUGUAAACCCUGAGGAGAACUUACCUGUAAACCCUGAGGAGAACUUACCUGUAAAUUUUGAAGUUCAAUCUGAAAGAGAAGAAAUUGCUGAUUCAACUCAUGUAACUGGCUUGGAAGCACAAAGCCCAAGUUUCAAUAGGGAAUCUUCUGUGCCAAGGUUCAGUUCGGUUGAAGAGGAAUUAAAUGAUGCUGAAAAUAUGGAAACCGACAUGGAAGCCAUCGAAUCAGUACAUUCAAGAAAUGAGUUAAGGAGGUCUGUUCGGACAAAAGAGAAACCCAAAAUCUUGACUUACCCCAAAUUGGGAAACCCUUUGAUAACCAUAGUUCAGUCCCUUCUUCAAGGCCUAAAUGAAGCCUUUUCAGAGUCCUUGCAAGAGUGUCCCCGUACGAGCUGUUCUGCAGCACAGGAUUAUACUGGCAAUAUGCAAAGGGACUUGCAUGGUUCUAUGGGGGGAGGGUGUAACCCAGGCUCAAAAACCUUUGUAGUCUAAAUUAGAUUUAAACACAGUCAUCUGAAUAGCUAGAUACUGUUAGAGGAAGAAAUAUGGAACAAAUACUAAAUGUGUAUAUAUAUGUAUAUAUAAAUAUUUUCCAUUUGAAAUGGGUUACUUGUUAGGUAAACUAAAUAGUUGAAAUGUAACUUUAAUUUUGAUUGAGCUCUAGAUCUGUGCAGGUGAGCAGCCAAUCGAGCGUAAUUAGGUCAAGCUGACUCCGCCCACCGAGAGAUGCGGCAUGAGAGAGAGAAAAAAACUUGAGAAACAACGUGAAUUAGAAGCUGCGUAAGAUCUUGAUUUAUUUCAUUUUGAGAGAGAACGCAUGUGAAAACCAAACAUUGUAAGUUAUUUUGCAGACAUUUUGUUGAUAAAUAAGUUUUAUUUCAAACUACUCACUUACUUACAUUUUGUUGAUUAUGUGACCGUCGUCACGCUGAAUUCCAGUGGAGUAGGCCAUCAUUGCGUCAUCCGAGAGAAACCUGGAAAAAAAACAGAGAAAUAUCAUUAAUACACGAGGGAAUCGGCCAGUUUUGUUAUUUUAGAAAUCUAGAAUCUGGAUUUUUUCAAUUCAUGAAGAUGGCGAGCCAACCGUAAAUCGAUCAGAAACAACUAUCCUUUGUCUUUUUGGACAUCUGUAUCACUUCACUUUCGGCAGGACAUCGCGUCGGAUUUUUUUCUUUUGAGGUUUGAAACAUCUGACAUUUUCAUUUUUCCUUUUGAGCAUUGGAUCACUGAUUUAAAGGAACUGAGGAGACAAUAUCAUUCUUUAUUGUUCAGACUGACAUUUUGUUUGAACUGUGCAUUCAAGAAUUACUGAUACUGCAUUGAUACGCAUUCAUUUAGACUUUGUUUCGUAUAAACAAGUGUUUACAGUGGACAUUUGUACGUGUGACUAAACACAAGUCCUGACAUUCGUGUUUAUUUUAUAUCUACUGAUCUUGAGUAUACAUUUGAGUUGUGUACAUAAAAAAAGGAGAUCAGAAAUUGAAUGUUUAUUACAAUUUAAUUUGCAUUGGAGAGAAGAAUUUUCUAUGUCAAGGGUUAAAUUUCAAAUUCAUUUAGCUUAAUUGGUAAAAAGUAAUAUUUAAAGCAGAUUUAAUAUUUCUUUUUUUGGUUUUAUUUUUUUUUUUGUUUGUUCUUGUUAUUUUUGCCCUUUAUGCAGUGUCAUUGAUAUUUUUUUUUUCCCAACCAGUGUAUCCUAUCAAUCGCGCUUACAAGUCAAUUUUAUCCAAUAUAAAGAUGCGCAUUUACAUCUA